rnacentral:rRNA from 1 species
CCUACGGGAGGCAGCAGUGGGGAAUAUUGCACAAUGGGGGAAACCCUGAUGCAGCGACGCCGCGUGAGUGAAGAAGUAAUUCGUUAUGUAAAGCUCUAUCAGCAGGGAAGAAAAUGACGGUACCUGAGUAAGAAGCGCCGGCUAACUACGUGACAGCAGCCGCCGUAAUACGUAGGGGGCAAGCGUUAUCCCGAUUUACUGGGUGUAAAGGGAGCGUAGACGGCAGUGCAAGUCUGGAGUGAAAGGCGGGGGCUCAACCCCCGGACUGCUCUUGAAACUGUACGGCUUGAGUGCAGGAGAGGUAAGUGGAAUUCCUGGUGUAGCGGUGAAAUGCGUAGAUAUUAGGAGGAACACCAGUGGCGAAGGCGGCUUACUGGACUGUAACUGACGUUGAGGCUCGAAAGCGUGGGGAGCAAACAGGAUUAGAUACCCGUGUAGUC